UUACUAGUAGUUGGGAAAAAAAAAAAAAAUUCAGCAACUUCCUGUUCUUCAAAUCAUAAGUUGAGAAAAACUUAUUAAUCACCAUGAUAGAAGCAAUCAUUAAGUAGUUCUGGUAUAGAUGGCAUCACAACACAUCCAUCCAUUGAAUCAAUUAAUUUAACAAGGUAUAUCAUAUGUUGCAAUAACUGAAAACUUGAGAAUGUGAUAACAGAGUGAAUUACAGAGUGAAUAAUCAAUCAUGGCCAUGGUGGAGGAGUUUCAGGCUUUGGAUUGGUUUUUCUGACUUUUUUCAUCAUCUGGGGGCUGUUGGAUUUGGUGGGUAUGUCAAAUCUUUGAACUAUAAUGGCCACAAAGUCUCCUUUGUUGUUGUUUUUGGCACUUAAUUUGUGAUGGUCA